ACGCUCGACACCUACGGGAGGCAGCAGUGGGGAAUAUUGCACAAUGGGGGAAACCCUGAUGCAGCGACGCCGCGUGAGCGAAGAAGUAUUUCGGUAUGUAAAGCUCUAUCAGCAGGGAAGAAACUGACGGUACCUGACUAAGAAGCACCGGCUAAAUACGUGGCAGCAGCCGGCGGUAAUCUGAGCGGGCUGGCAAGGC
rnacentral:rRNA from 1 species